GCCGUAUUUCGGCGGGGUGGAGAGAACUGAGUCGGAGCUGCGGCUGGCGGAGGAUAAGAUAGUGCCGUUGCCGGCGAAUGAUCUGAUGUGGGAGCUGGCCCUGCCGGUUGGUGCAGGAAGGGACCAUGAGUACUGUGAUUUUAGGGCGGGGCCGCCACUGGCCGGGGAGAUUAAGAGGUGUUUGGUGAGGGGUUAUGAGGGGGAUCCGUUGAUUGAUCGACAGCGGGAGGUGGCGAGG
rnacentral:misc_RNA from 1 species